rnacentral:rRNA from 1 species
CCUCGGGCGGCAGCAGUGGGGAAUAUUGGACAAUGGGCGAAAGCCUGAUCCAGCCAUGCCGCGUGUGUGAAGAAGGCCUUCGGGUUGUAAAGCACUUUCAGUGGGGAAGAAAGCCUUGGGGCUAAUACCCUCGAGGAAGGACAUCACCCACAGAAGAAGCACCGGCUAACUCCGUGCCAGCAGCCGCGGUAAUACGGAGGGUGCGAGCGUUAAUCGGAAUUACUGGGCGUAAAGCGCGCGUAGGCGGUCUGAUAAGCCGGUUGUGAAAGCCCCGGGCUCAACCUGGGAACGGCAUCCGGAACUGUCAGGCUAGAGUGCAGGAGAGGAAGGUAGAAUUCCCGGUGUAGCGGUGAAAGGCGUAGAGAUCGGGAGGAAUACCAGUGGCGAAGGCGGCCUUCUGGACUGACACUGACGCUGAGGUGCGAAAGCGUGGGUAGCAAACAGGAUUAGAUACCCCGGUAGUC